CAGUCGCCGCGGUAAUACGUAGGUGGCAAGCGUUGUCCGGAAUUAUUGGGCGUAAAGGGCUCGCAGGCGGUUUCUUAAGUCUGAUGUGAAAGCCCCCGGCUCAACCGGGGAGGGUCAUUGGGAACUGGGAAACUUGAGUGCAGAAGAGGAGAGUGGAAUUCCACGUGUAGCGGUGAAAUGCGUAGAGAUGUGGAGGAACACCAGUGGCGAAGGCGACUCUCUGGUCUGUAACUGACGCUGAGGAGCGAAAGCGUGGGGAGCGAACAGGAUUAGAUACCCCAGUAGUCCCUGUCUCUUAUAA
rnacentral:rRNA from 1 species